UAUGAAGAACGCAGCGAAAUGCGAUAAGUAAUGUGAAUUGCAGAAUUCAGUGAAUCAUCGAAUCUUUGAACGCACAUUGCGCCCGCCAGUAUUCUGGCGGGCAUGCCUGUUCGAGCGUCAUUUCAACCAUCAAGCCCCCGGCUUGUGUUGGGGACCUGCGGCUGCCGCAGGCCCUGAAAAGCAGUGGCGGGCUCGCUGUCACACCGAGCGUAGUAGCAUACAUCUCGCUCUGGGCGUGCUGCGGGUUCCGGCCGUUAAACCACCUUCAUAACCCAAGGUUGACCUCGGAUCAGGUAGGAAGACCCGCUGAACUUAAGCAUAUCAAUAAGCGGAGGA
rnacentral:misc_RNA from 1 species